AAACAUUUGGGUUUCAUACUAAGCUGAUUAGAAGGGAAAGAGUAUAUGAACAACAGGCUAUGACAUCUGGUUAUGCAAGCGUAACCCAGUGAGAACACCUGGUACUUCUUAGCGACAUGGCUUACAUGUUACACAGUGCGUAUGUGCUGUGUACUGGUGCGAUGGGGGUCUGCCAUAUUGGCAUGUGCCCUCAAGCUAGUGUGUGCUUGGAGGUGAGCACUGAGUUUGCCUGUCGGCUGUACGUUGUAGGUUAGCAUGCGUGAGGUUAGGUAAGUAGUAUAGCAGGUAGACUAGUGCUAUUGGCAAGGCCUAUUUGCUGACAGGCAGUGUGGUCGCUGAGCUGGUGUUAUGAAUAGGUAGCAUGUGGUGAUGAAGGUGAAUACAACUUUUG